UUGGCCGGAAUUGAGGGCGCGCGCUGAGCUCGCGUGGGCCAGCUGAUCGCGCGCUGAGGGGAUCCCGGCUCCCUAUUCCUUCCCGGGGUGCCUCCUGGACCUAGGUCCAACUGGGUCCCCGCGUGCGCAGGGCCGGGGCUGCUGUUUUCGCUCGGCCUCCAGCUCAAUGGAAGAGCCUCCCGGGAAGCCCCUCAGCUGUGCGGAGAAGGAAAAGUUGAAGGAAAAAUUAGCAUUCUUGAAAAGGGAAUACAGCAAGACACUGGCCCGCCUUCAGCGUGCCCAAAGAGCUGAGAAGGUUAAGAAUUCUGUUAAGAAAACAGCAGAACAGGAUUACUCGAUCCAGCAGGAAAUCUCAUCACAGCUAAACCACUCAGAACCUAAAAAUGAAGGAUCUCCUUAUACGGAGUUACAAAUCAAUGCCCGUCUGGAUGGCAACACUGGAGAAAAGACACCUAUAACACUUGCUGCUGAGCCUGAGUUUUUUAACCCUGAAGAUGGCCCAGAAGAACAAUUACGUAUUUCAGGAAUGGUUGACAUCCAAGAACAUUGUCCCUUCAGGGCAAAUGGCCCUGGUAGUGAGAAAAGGCAGAGUAAGCUUCCAUGGAGAAGAAAGAGGCAGCCAAAGAGAGCACAUGUCUCACAGGAGGGCGAAUGUUUCUUUGACACUGAUUCACUCACACUCUCUGGAAAAAGACUAAAGAAACAGGAAGCAAUCGGUAACAAAAAUCCUAGGUCACCAGUAACUGAAAUACCCUCCCUUUCAAGUUGUAAGUCUGAAAUUCCAGAUUCUCCAGCACCACUUGUAGAAAUUGAUGGAGAGAAUAUAUUAAUUCCAUCAACUGCCAAAUCAAAAAGAGUUGAUACCCCAUUUAAAGGAAAUAAUUUCUCCAGUAACACUGAAGAUCCUUUGCAGACUAUACCAGAUAACAGUAAUCAUGAGUACCUUGAACAUAUACCUCCUAAAGGUAAUUGUGAACUCAUUACUCAGGGGUUUAAAAACAUUAGCCUUACUUCACCCAUAAACCCGGAGGUACAAGGCCACCAAAUGACUGUCUCUCCAGAUAGCACAGUAGUAAAUAAAGCUGCAGGCACCACUGGCCAGCUGCCUAGAAGUCCUGCAUUAGAGGCAGAUAAUUCAUGUUCUGCACGUGAACUCCCUUAUAAUAACUUAUCAGCAAAGAUAAAGCAAAACUUAAAAGAACAAAAUCACACCAAGGAAUCUCCCAUUAAUGCUUUUAAUGAUAGAAAUGAAAAUGUUCAAGAAAAUGAGGUUCUAAGUCAAUCUAAGAGUCUUAGCCCAGAAGCAGUCCCUUCUGUUUCUACAGAAAAUCAAAUACAUUCUUGCACAGUGCUUGAAGGCCUUUUGUUUCCAGCGGAAUACUAUGUUAGAACAACACGUCGCAUGUCCGAUUGCCAGAAGAAAGUAGCCCUGGAAGCUGUUAUUCAAAAUCACUUGGGUGGCAGGAAGAAGGGGCUUAAAAAUAAAAGUAAGGAAGCACCUAAAAAUUUAAACCCUUCCAAUGAAAAUAGUGCCCAGAGUGAAAAUGAGAUUUUGGACACGUGCACAGGACAAGCAAUCUCAAGAAGUCCUCCUCAGGAGCUUCUCUCUCCAGCUCACAUCAGCUCUCCCCCUGGGUCUGCCGAAGAUAACCUCUGUUCUAGGAGGGCUCUUGUGCAGCCAUCUGGUAGAAGACACAGAGGAAAAAGGAAAUCAGUCUGCACCCCAGCACUAGGUCACAGUGAACUGAUUUGGCCAAUUUUCAGCACAUUGGGUGUUAACAGAUCCAAUGAAGAAGUCACCUUGGGCAGGCAGCAGAAUGAAAAAGCCAUUAUUCAUGACUUUCAGUUACCUGAAGACGACUUUGGGCCUCUUAUGCUUGAAAAAUUGAAGUCCUGCUCGGAAAAACUUAUUGAGCCUCUGGAAUCAAAAAUGUGCAGGGAGAGGUAUCUUAAAGAGGACGAUUGUGUUGUUCUGGAGGAACUGAGUCCUAAACAAAUAGAUGCCGAAAUGGAGGACUCAGAAGAGGACCUUAUUGCUAUACUAAGAAAAGCACAUCGUCAAAUACCAAAUCUAAAACACCAGCCUACCAACAAGGGCCUUUCUUCGUCCAUGAUACUUUUUACUCCUUUAAAUACUUCUGCGUCUGGCGAUAACAGCACACCCCCUGUGGACCUGUGUUCAUCUGCUCUCCCCAUGUUAGGCACUACUCCAGCCCUUGGUUCCCAGGUGUACUGUGAAAAAGCAUCUGCCAAGGUCAUUGGACAAACUUGCUCUACAUCCCAGCUUUCUACCCCAGAAGACACAGUCAGCCUGGCUAGUGACAGUAAGCAGUACGACAGUUCCACCAGCUCACCCAAACUGGGAACCAGCCUGCAUGUGUCAGGUAGGCAAGAACAGCCUGCCCAUGACCAUGACUCUGGCCUCCAAGCAACACCUCUACCCACUGAGUCAUUCACUUUCAGAGAAAAUCAGCUCUGUGGAAAUAGGUGCCUGGAGUUGCAUAAACAUUCCAUUGAACAGACUAAAGUAGCAGAUCUUCCCACCUGUGACAGCUUAAACCCGGGCAGCCUACAAUUGAUUUCCAAGUUAAAGAAUCCUUCUGGUUCCUGUUCUGUGGAUGUUAGUGCCAUGUGGUGGGAACGAGCUGGUUUUAAGGAGCCAUGUAUCAUAACAGCUUGUGAAUAUGUAGUUUCUCUUUGGAGACCUCUGGAUACUUGGCAGUGGGAAAAAAUCUACACCUGGCAUUUCACAGAGGUACCUGUGUUACAAAUAGUUCCAGUGCCCGACGUUUGUAAUCUUGUAUGUGUGGCUUUGGGAAGUUUGGAGAUCAGAGAAAUCAGGGCAUUACUUUGUUCCUCUGAGGAUGAAAGUGAAAAACAAGUACUACUCAAAUCUGGAAACAUAAAAGCUGUGCUUGGCCUGACAAGGAGGAGGCUCGUUAGUAGCAGUGGGACCCUUUGUGAUCAGCAAGUGGAAAUCAUGACUUUUGCAGAGGACGGAAGAAGCAAAGAAAAACAGUUUUUGAUGCCCCCUGAAGAGACUAUACUUACUUUUGGUGAGGUCCAAGGGAUGCAGGAAGCUCUGCUUGGUACUACUAUCAUGAACAACAUUGUUAUCUGGGUACUUGGGAUUGAACCCAGGGGCUUGUGCAUGCUAGGCAAAUACUCUACCACUGAGCUACACUCCCGCCAUGUUGACUUCUCUUCACCUUCCGCUUCCCGUUGCUCUACUACAAAACUGUCUUCUCUGGUAUUCUGUACUCCUUAGCUUCUUUUUUUCCUGCCCUUUUUCUAAUAGUAUACCUUUGGCGUUUGGGUUGUAAUAGAUCACAAAGGGGGGCUGGGGAUGUGGCUCAAGCGGUAGCGCGCUGGCCUGGCAUGCGUGCGGCCCGGGUUCGAUCCUCAGCACCACAUACAAACAAAGGUGUUGUGUCCACCGAUAACUAAAAAAAUAAAUAUUUUUUUAAAAAAAAGAUCACAAAGGUCGGGAGUGGGGAGGGAUCUCUUUACUAGGCUUCCCUUGCAGAAUAUCCUGUUAAGGAACAUCUUCACCCCACAGCUGCCUUGAGUUUCCUGUCAUCUCAGUUUCACUGAUGUUUCCCUCUUUAAAUUUAUAUAGCCCUUGUUUUUUACUUACUGGUUACUACAUUAUAUAUUUUUUCUUUUUUCUGGCAAUUGAAGAUAAGUGCCAUGUCUUGCAUCUGUUCUUAGUGCUUUCCCCAGUUCCUUGCCUAGGCUAGUACUCAAAUGACAUCAAUCAUAUUAUCUAAAGAAUCUAUCAUUUGACCUUUUGGGCUCUAUGUAAUGUCUAUCUGUUUGUUUGUUUGUUUGAGGGGGUUUGGGCAUUAGAGAUUGAACCCAGGGUACUUUACCACUAAGCUACAUCUUCAGUCCUUAUUUAUUUUUUAUUUUGAGACAGGAUCCCACUAAGUUGCCCAAGCUGACCUUGAACCCCCAGUCCUCCUGCCUCAGCCUCCUGAGUGCUAGGAUAACAGGCAUGUGCCACCACACCCAGCAUCACCUUUCUUAUUUAACAUCUGAUCUGUUAGAUAUCUAUAGUGAUUCAUGUUACACUUGGGAUUUGAGUGGCCAUAUUUGGUAACUUGCUAGAAUUUUAAUAUUUUAUCUUGAUUAAGCUAUAUUGUUGAGCAACAUUUUUCAAACAAUCAAAAGAUAACUGAAUCUCUACUUGUGUCCCAUUCUCUUUGAGGGAUGUAGAGAUGAAUCAUCUGAAUCCUGGCCCCAAGGCUUCUAAAAUCUAGUAGGAAUUUAAAAACUGGUCAACUCCUGAAAAAGAUGCACAUUGACGAUUCUUAUCAAGCUUCCGUCUGUCACAAAGCCUAUUCUGAAAUGGGGCUCCUGUUUGUUGUUCUGAGUCAU